GCCAAUAUAGCUCAGUUGGCUAGAGCAGCUGAUUUGUAAUCAGCAGGUCGUGGGUUCGAGUCCCUCUAUUGGCU
rnacentral:tRNA from 2 species